GACGAACGCUGGCGGCGUGCUUAACACAUGCAAGUCGAACGGAAAGGCCCUGCUUUUGUGGGUUGCUCGAGUGGCGAACGGAUGAGUAACACAACAGUAACCUGCCCUUGACUUUGGUAUAACUUCAGGAAACUAGGGCUAAUACCGGAUAGGAGCUCCUGCUUCAUGGUGGUGGUUGGAAAGUGUCGGCUGUUGGUGAUGGACGCGCGGCUUAUCAGCCUGUUGGUGGGGUAGUGGCUUACCAAGGCUUUGACGGGUAGCCGGCCUGAGCGGGUGACAGGCAACAUUGGGACUGAAAUACGGCGCAGACGCCUACGGGAGGCAGCAGUGGGGAAUAGUGUAAAAUGGGCGGAAGGCGGAUGCAGCAACGCCGCGUGCGGGAUGACGGCCUUCGGGUUGUAAACCGCUUUCGCCUGUGACGAAGCGUGAGUGACGGUAAUGGGUAAAGAAGCACCGGCUAACUACGUG
rnacentral:rRNA from 1 species